rnacentral:tRNA from 1 species
GGGCCCGUAGUUCAGCGGUAGAACAGCAGACUCUUAAUCUGCGUGUCGUCGGUUCGAUCCCGACCGGGCUCACCA